GACGAACGCUGGCGGCAGGCCUAACACAUGCAAGUCGAACGCACCGCAAGGUGAGUGGCGCACGGGUGAGUAACACGUGGGAAUGUACCCUUUGGUUCGGAAUAACGUUUGGAAACGAACGCUAAUACCGGAUGAGCCCUGCGGGGGAAAGAUUUAUCGCCAAAGGAGCAGCCCGCGUCUGAUUAGCUAGUUGGUGGGGUAAAGGCCUACCAAGGCGACGAUCAGUAGCUGGUCUGAGAGGAUGAUCAGCCACACUGGGACUGAGACACGGCCCAGACUCCUACGGGAGGCAGCAGUGGGGAAUAUUGGACAAUGGGCGGAAGCCUGAUCCAGCCAUGCCGCGUGAGUGAUGAAGGCCUUCGGGUUGUAAAGCUCUUUCGCACGCGACGAUGAUGACGGUAGCGUGAGAAGAAGCCCCGGCUAACUUCGUGCCAGCCGCCGCAGUAAUAC
rnacentral:rRNA from 1 species